rnacentral:lncRNA from 15 species
NUCAAAUGCAUCGCUGCCCUGUGGGGUGCCACAGGGAUCUAUUCUCGGCCCUAUUCUGUUUUCAUUGUAUAUGCUACCUCUGGGAUCAAUUAUAAAAAAACACAACCUGUCUUUUCACUUUUAUGCCGAUGAUUUGCAGAUAUAUUUGCCCAUGACACCAAACGAAAACACUGCACUUACUAAACUGCUGGACUGCAUCACAGAUAUAAAACAGUGGCUGUCACAGAACUUUUUGCACCUAAAUGACAGCAAAACUGAAUGCAUUUUGUUUGGUUCACCAGCUAAGUCGAAUGCUCUCACCACAAAUUCUGGCACUCUGGCCCCUCUUUUUAAAUCACAUGUCAAAAAUCUUGGGGUAACAUUUGAUACUGGGCUCAAAUUUGACAAACAGAUUAGCUCGGUUGUCAGUACGAGCUUUUUUCAGCUCCGUCUUUUGGCCAAAGUGAAGUCUUUUCUCAGUCGGCAGGAUCUUGAGAAGGCAAUCCAUGCUUUUAUCAGCUCAAGACUGGACUACUGUAAUGCCCUUUACGUCGGCCUCAGUCAGUCCUCAAUUUCUCGUCUCCAACUUGUGCAGAACGCUGCAGCCCGAUUUUUAACUAACACGUCCAGACGCGAACAUAUUACUCCUGUGCUGUCGUCACUCCACUGGCUUCCAGUCCGUUUUAGAAUUGAUUUUAAACUUUUGUUGUUUGUUUUUAACACCAUUAACGGCUCGGCCCCCUCUUACUUGUCAGAGAUUUUAACUUUUCGCAAUUGUGGCAGAGCCUUGCGCUCUUCAGGUCAGCUUCUGUUAGAAGUCCCUAGGUCCAGACUUAAACAGUGGGGCGAUCGUUCUUUUGCUGUCGCUGCUCCUAGACUGUGGAACAAACUGCCCCCUGACAUUCGUACCACUACUGAUCUCGGCCUUUUUAAAUCGAAGCUUAAGACCCACUUUUUUAGAUUAGCUUUUAAUUCUGAAUAGGACAGUACUGUCUCUUAGGUGUACUCUUUUUAUCUGCUCCUUUCUGUGCAUUUCUGGAAGGCUUUUAAUACCCUGCAGUGCUGCAGCACUUUAAAUUGUAUUUGUAUGUUAUAUAUGUGUUAUGUACUGUUUCAUGGCUCUGUUGUAAAGCACUUUGGGUACCUUUCGGCUAUUGUAAAGGGCUAUACAAAUAAACUUGAUUUGAUUUGAUUUGAAUAUAAACAUAAAAGGACAAUAACAAUAUAGUAAAACUAAUAUAUUGGCAUAGUUAAUAUAAUUUAAUGUAAAA